UGGCGACCGGCGCACGGGUGCGUAACGCGUAUGCAACCUACCUUUAACAGGGGGAUAACACUGAGAAAUUGGUACUAAUACCCCAUAAUAUCAUAGAAGGCAUCUUUUAUGGUUGAAAAUUCCGAUGGUUAGAGAUGGACAUGCGUUGUAUUAGCUAGUUGGUGGGGUAACGGCUCACCAAGGCGACGAUACAUAGGGGGACUGAGAGGUUAACCCCCCACACUGGUACUGAGACACGGACCAG
rnacentral:rRNA from 1 species